GCGGCAUGCCUCAUACAUGCAAGUCGAACGAAGUCUUCGGACUUAGUGGCGCACGGGUGAGUAACAUGUGGGAAUCUACCUAAAGGUUCGGAAUAACUGCGGGAAACUGUAGCUAAUACCGGAUGUGUCUGCAAAGAGAAAGAUUUAUCGCCUUUAGAUGAGCCCGCACUAGAUUAGCUAGUUGGUGAGGUAACUGCUCCACCAAGGCUACGAUCUAUAGCUGAUUUGAGAGGAUGAUCAGCCACACUGGGACUGAGACACGGCCCAGACUCCUACGGGAGGCAGCAGUAGGGAAUAUUGGACAAUGGGGGAAACCCUGAUCCAGCAAUGCCGCGUGAGUGAAGAAGGCCCUCGGGUUGUAAAACUCUUUCAUCAAUGAUGAUAAUGACAUUAAUUGAAGAAGAAGCUCCGGCUAACUUCGUGCCAGCAGCCGCGGUAAUACGAAGGGGGCUAGCGUUGUUCGGAAUCACUGGGCGUAAAGCGUAUGUAGGCGGAUCAAAAAGUUAGAUGUGAAAUCCCUGGGCUCAACCCAGGAACUGCAUUUAAAACUAGUGAUCUAGAAUUUGGUAAAGGUUAGUAGAAUUUCCAGUGUAGAGGUGAAAUUCGUAGAUAUUGGAAAGAAUACCAGAAGCGAAGGCGACUAACUAGGCCAUUUUUGACGCUGAGAUACGAAAGCGUGGGUAGCAAACAGGAUUAGAUACCCUGGUAGUCCACGCAGUAAACGAUGAGUGCUAGUCGCUGGGACAAUAGUUUCAGUGUCGAAGCUAACGCAUUAAGCACUCCGCCU
rnacentral:rRNA from 1 species